rfam:Cavia porcellus supercont2_108 genomic scaffold, whole genome shotgun sequence.
CCAAAGGCUCUUUUCAGAGCCACUCACUCUCUCGAAGGAGAACUGG